rnacentral:rRNA from 1 species
GAUGAACGCUGGCGGCGUGCCUAAUACAUGCAAGUCGAGCGAACAGACGAGGAGCUUGCUCCUCUGACGUUAGCGGCGGACGGGUGAGUAACACGUGGAUAACCUACCUAUAAGACUGGGAUAACUUCGGGAAACCGGAGCUAAUACCGGAUAAUAUAUUGAACCGCAUGGUUCAAUAGUGAAAGACGGUUUUGCUGUCACUUAUAGAUGGAUCCGCGCCGCAUUAGCUAGUUGGUAAGGUAAAGGCUUACCAAGGCAACGAUGCGUAGCCGACCUGAGAGCGUGAUCGGCCACACUGGAACUGAGACACGGUCCAGACUCCUACGGGAGGCAGCAGUAGGGAAUCUUCCGCAAUGGUCGAAAGCCUGACGGAGCAACGCCGCGUGAGUUAUGAAGGUCUUCGGAUCGUAAAACUCUGUUAUUAGGGAAGAACAAAUUUGUAAGUAACUAUGCACGUCUUGACGGUACCUAAUCAGAAAGCCACGGCUAACUACGUG